rnacentral:rRNA from 1 species
CAUGCAAGUCGAACGGGGUUAUACGCUGAGAGCGGUGCUUGCACCAAUCUCUUGUAUGGCCUAGUGGCGGACGAGUGAGUAACACGUGGGUAAUCUGCCCGAAGCACGGGGAUAAGCACCGGAAACGGUGUCUAAUACCCGAUAAGCCCCCACUGUCGCAUGGCAGAGAGGGAAAAGAUUUAUCGGCUUCGGAGGAACCCGCGUCCUAUUAGUUAGUUGGUGGGGUAAUGGCCUACCAAGACCGCGAUAGGUAGCCGAACUGAGAGGUUGAUCGGCCACGCCGGGACUGAGACACGGCCCGGACUCCUACGGGAGGCAGCAGUGAGGAAUAUUGCACAAUGGGCGCAAGCCUGAUGCAGCAACGCCGCGUGAAGGAAGAAGGCCUUCGGGUUGUAAACUUCUAUCGAUGGGGAAUAAAACAAUGAAGGUACCCAGGUAAGAAGCCCCGGCUAACUACGUGCCAGCAGCCGCGGUAAAACGUAGGGGGCAAGCGUUAUCCGGAAUUACUGGGUGUAAAGGGUGAGUAGCCGGUUUGGCAAGUCAUGGGUGAAAUUCCAAAGCUCAACUUUGGAACUGCCCAAGAAACUGCCGGACUAGAGUGCAGGAGAGGUUAGCGGAAUUCCUUGUGUAGCGGUGAAAUGCGUAGAUAUAAGGAAGAACACCAGUGGCGAAGGCGGCUAACUGGACUGAAACUGACGGUGAGUCACGAAAGCGUGGGGAGCGAACAGGAUUAGACACCCUGGUAGUCCACGCCGUAAACGAUGUUAGCUAGGUGUCGGGGUGAGAGCCUCGGUGCCGGCGCAAACGCAAUAAGCUAACCACCUGGGGAGUACGGCCGCAAGGCUGAAACUCAAAGGAAUUGACGGGGGCCCGCACAAGCGGUGGAGCAUGUGGAUUAAUUCGAUGCAACGCGAAGAACCUUACCGGGGCUUGACAUGGAGCCGAAAUCAUCAGAGAUGAUGCCUCCCUUCGGGGCGGCUCACACAGGUGGUGCAUGGUUGUCGUCAGCUCGUGUCGUGAGAUGUUGGGUUAAGUCCCGCAACGAGCGCAACCCUUAUCUUCAGUUCCCAGCACGUAAUGGUGGGUACGCUGGAGAGACUGCCGUGGAUAACACGGAGGAAGGUGGGGAUGAUGUCAAAUCAUCAUGCCCCUUACGUCCCGGGCUUCACACGUGCUACAAUGGCCGUUACAAAGUGAUGCGAGGCAGUGAUGCCAAGCGAACCACAAAAAACGGCCCCAGUUCGGAUUGCAGGCUGCAACCCGCCUGCAUGAAGUUGGAAUCGCUAGUAAUCGCGAAUCAGCAUGUCGCGGUGAAUACGUUCCCGGGCCUUGUACACACCGCCCGUCACACCAUGGGAGUUGGAAGCGCCCGAAGUCCGUGACUCAACCGGGUAACCGGGGAGAGCGGCCUAAGGUGAAGCCAGCGACUGGGGUG